CGAUACCGUGAGGUGGAGCGAAUCCCCAAAAGCAGUCUCAGUUCAGAUUGUAGGCUGAAACUCGCCUAUAUGAAGUCGGAAUUGCUAGUAAUCGCGGAUCAGCAUGCCGCGGUGAAUACGUUCCCGGGCCUUGUACACACCGCCCGUCACACCAUGAGAGUCGAUAACACCCGAAGCCUGUAGUCUAACCGCAAGGAGGACGCAGUCGAAGGUGGGAUUGAUAAUUAGGGUGAAGUCGUAACAAGGUACC
rnacentral:rRNA from 1 species